rnacentral:rRNA from 1 species
CACCAGACUCCUACGGGAGGCAGCAGUGGGGAAUAUUGCACAAUGGGGGAAACCCUGAUGCAGCGACGCCGCGUGAAGGAAGAAGUAUUUCGGUAUGUAAACUUCUAUCAGCAGGGAAGAAAAUGACGGUACCUGACUAAGAAGCCCCGGCUAACUACGUGCCAGCAGCCGCGGUAAUACGUAGGGGGCAAGCGUUAUCCGGAUUUACUGGGUGUAAAGGGGGCGCAGACGGCGAUGCAAGCCAGGAGUGAAAGCCCGGGGCCCAGCCCCGGGACUGCUCUUGGAACUGCGUGGCUGGAGUGCAGGAGGGGCAGGCGGAAUUCCUGGUGUAGCGGUGAAAUGCGUAGAUAUCAGGAGGAACACCGGUGGCGAAGGCGGCCUGCUGGACUGCAACUGACGUUGAGGCCCGAAAGCGUGGGGAGCAAACAGGAUUAGAUACCCUCGUAAC